rnacentral:rRNA from 1 species
GACGAACGCUGGCGGCGUGCUUAACACAUGCAAGUCGAACGAAGUGGCGAACGUGUGAGUAACGCGUAAUCAACACGCCCUUCAGAGGGGGACAACAGUUGAAAACGGCUGCUAAGACCGCAUACUGACGGAGGGGUGUGCGUCUGAUUAGUUAGCUGGAGGGGUACCGGCCCACCAAGGCGAUGCUCGGUUGCCGGUCUGAGAGGAUGAACGGCCACAUUGGGACUGAGACACGGCCCAGAAUCCUACGGGAGGCAGCAGGAGGGAAUCUUCCGCAAUGGACGAAAGUCUUACGGAGCAACGCCGAGUGAAUGAUGACGGCCUUCGGGUUGUAAAGCGCUGUUAAUCGGGACGCGGUACCGGAAUAGAAAGCCACGGCUAACUACGUGCCAGCCGCCGCGGUAAUAC